rnacentral:lncRNA from 1 species
UUUUUACCCAUUUGAGUUUUAGGAAUUUGAAACCAAUAGGGUUUUGAGCAUAAAAAGGGUUUAUUGCAUUAUUAAGCGACCCCAUAUUUUUGGUGUUUAAAUUUGGGUACAAAAGCUAUAUGGUUUAUUAUUUAUAAAGCCCUAAAGGCAAUCUUAUAAGCAAAACUAUUUUUAAAUAUUUUGUUUUGAGGGGAAAUCAGUACCAAAAGUUGAAUCAUAUUAUAAUAUGAUUUUACAAAUUUUCUGAGAUUUAUUUGAAUUGAUUUGGAGUUCAAAAUCAAAAGCUAUAAGGGAAAAACAGAAAAAAGAAAAAGGGAAAAGAAAAAGGGAAAAAAAAGAGAAUCGGACCGGCCCAACUGGGCCGGCCCACUUACCUCGCGCGCCCACAGCCCAGCACGCAUGCGCGGGCCCGAGCCGCUGACAGGCGGGCCCCGCCUGUCGGACUCGUCUUCUCCGGAAGGCAAGCCCGCAGAAUCCCCGCACGUGACGGCCGCGCGCCAUCGCCGGGAUUCUUCACUUCCCGUGCUCCCCGCGAGAUGCCCUGUGCAUCCUAUAAAGCCCCGGACCCCCUCUCUCUAUUCCCCCUUCUCGCCGUCCCUAUUGCGCCCCCAGACCGUCGAAAUUUCUCGCCAGACUUUGCUUUUGCCGCUGCCAAGUCUUGCACGCCGCCGGCGACCGAAUAGGUAAUCGACGCCGCCGUUUGCGCCAUCUUCUCCCCCUCUCCUUUGCGCGGUUUGUGACGCGCUCCGUUUUGUUUAUGGUGC